UACGAAGGGGGCUAGCGUUGCUCGGAAUCACUGGGCAUAAAGCGCACGCAGGCGGCGCGGUAAGUCGGAUGUGAAAUCCCUCGGCCUAACCGAGGAACUGCGUCCGAUACUGCCGGGCUUGAGAUCGGGAGGGGUGUGCGGAAUUCCGGGUGGAGCGGUGAAAUGCGUUGAUAUCCGGAGGAACACCGGCGGCGAAAGCGGCACACUGGUCCGAUUCUGACGCUGAGGUGCGAAAGCCAGGGUAGCAAACGGG
rnacentral:rRNA from 1 species